UACGGAGGGGGCGAGCGUUAUUCGGAAUUAUUGGGCGUAAAGGGCGCGUAGGCGGCUGUACAAGUCAAAGGUGAAAUCCCUCGGCUCAACUGAGGAACUGCCUUUGAAACUGUACGGCUUGAGGCCGGGAGGGGUAGCGGAAUUCCCAGUGUAGCGGUGAAAUGCGUAGAUACUGGGAGGAACACCAGUGGCGAAGGCGGCUACCUGGACCGGUUCUGGACGCUGAGGCGCGAAAGCCGUGGGUAGCAAACGAGG
rnacentral:rRNA from 1 species